CUCCAGGACCAGGGCAAGUCUUGGCUAUGGCAAACCAUCUCCUGUCUUUGGUCUCCCAGAAGUCCCUAGGAAAAAUUGUUUUGGUCUCUGCCCCCUACCUAAGAGUUGGUGUAACUCAUUGCAGCCUCAAACUCCUGGGCUCAAGUGAUCCUCCCACCACAGCCUCCUGAGUAGCUGGGAUUAUAGGCACGUACCACCACACCCAGCUAAUUUUUAAAAUUUUUGUAGAAACGGGGUCAUAUUUUCAGAUGUUCCUUGAUCAGCAUGAUUUUAAGAGAGGGAAGAAAGGAGACAGUUUGACAAGAAAAUGAAAGAGGGAGAAUGAGGACGGUGCAUGGCUGGGGACUAUUGUUUGAGUUGUAAGCUCUCUUGCUGGGACAACGCCUGUGAUUCCAGUACUUCGGACGUUUAUACUCAA
rnacentral:lncRNA from 1 species